rnacentral:lncRNA from 1 species
AGAAACACAAGCUGCAGGCAGACCUAACACAUCUCAGCUGACCCUUCAGGUGAUUUUGAAGCUUGAAUGCUUUUCAGAGUUGCCCUGAGUUGAGUCAAGAUGGCCAGACCUUUAUUUCCCUACAUCUAUCAGUCAUUUCAUAAGGUGGGCCACUCAGGAGUAGGAAAGUGACCUUAAGGAAAGGUGAGCGUAGGCGGCAGUGUUCUGCAUCUGUGGUGGUCCCUGAAGAAAGUUGUGAAGACUAUUUGUUGACAUAUGUCCAGCAUCUGGAGGUUCAAGCCCUUCACUGAGGACUAUUUCAAUGUUACAGCACUGGUGACAGAAUGGUGACUUCAAGAUAAGAAGGGAAGCAACAUAUUGAUUUUACAUUUUACAGAAGAUCUCUUUUCCAUUCCAGAUGGCAUUCUUUCACAGAACUUCAGGCUGAGUUCAACAGUUGAUAAAGAUUCAGAACCUGUCACCUUAACUCAGUUAUUUAUCGACUUGCCUGUGCAAAUGAAUGAAGAAAUCUGUUAAAGAACAGUUUGAGAACUAUUAAUUAGCAACAAAAACCAGAUAAAGAAUCUGAAAUGACAAUUUGGAACCCUGAAAGUAGAAUAAAACAUGUUCUAUCUUAUUGACUCAUGCAUUCCUUUGACAUCUGGAUCAGUGAGUCAGACAUAACAUAAGCUAUAACAAUGAUUUUAUAUUUUCAUAACUAGUUAGCAGUAUGUUUGGGUUUUAGUUGCUUCCUUUGUUUAUUUUUUCCACUCACAGGCAGGUUAUGACUUCUUGUCCCCUUAAUUACUUUAUGAACAUUCUUUGGAAAGGUAAAUACAUUAAGAUCAAAUUGAAAGAACAGUGUUAUAUUGAAAGCAAUGGCCAAUAACCAGUUACAAAUUCCUACUCCACCAUGAUCAUUGCAGUUAUAUAAUUUAUA